GGAACGGUAACUCAGUGGUAGAGUGUAGGAUUGCAGCUCCGCGACAAUCCUGAAGUCAUCAGUUCGAUCCUGGUUCGUUCCU